AUAGGCAUGCCCGAUGUUGUUAAGGUUAGCCUAUGGUUAAAUAUAUUUUUUUCGGUUUCCUUUAUUGUAAUCUGUUCCAUCUUUCAAUCCUUUUAGUUUUGUGCUCAAAGUUGAUUUUGCAUUUGUUGGUGAUGUUGUAGGCGUGGAAUAUUUAGUCAUCAUCAGAAUUUAUUCUCAAUGAACCAGGCAGCCAAGUUUAUUGCAUGGUUGUUGGUAAUGAAAUGCUGUUUGCCGGAGCAUAGGAUGGUGGUAUUUUUGCAUGGAAAGGCAGUCCUGGAACUGAGAAUCUUUUUCAUCUUGCUGAUCUCUAAGAGGCCACACUCGCGCUGUGACAUGUUUAACUAUUGGAUGCAAUAUGCAAUAUACUUUAAUCGGCAUAUCUAUUGCUUAUAUUGUGUUCUCAACAGGAAAACCUCAAUUUUUUAUAAGAUUGAUUGAAAGAGAGCAUCCAAUAAAUGUGAGAAGACUAAAUAGAGGAUGUAGAAGAAGAAGAAAUUAGAAAUUGAAAGUUGCUCCUCAGUUUUACUUUGAAGAGUUGAUUAUUGCAUUGAAGAGUAGUCUUUUGAAGCAGAAGUUGCGGUACUGAUGUCUCCACAAAAACUUCAAGCUUUUGUAUAAAUUGUAGAUUCUUAUUUUAGUAGCAAUUCAAUAAGCAACUUUGAUUCCGUUUCAGACUAUUAUGCAAGAGCAUAUAGUUCUUAUUUAUCUGUUGUUUUUUUUUUUUUGCCUUGUAAAACUUUACUUCGUUAGAAGAAGGCUUGAACCUCCGACCUUGUUAACCUAUUUUUAAGUAUUUGACAAACUAUAAAUAUUCAUGUUCACAUUUGAUUUUUGUGUACACAAA